UUCUUCCCGAACUCAGGCUAA
rnacentral:miRNA from 1 species